rnacentral:lncRNA from 1 species
AAAAUGGAAGAGCCUCUUUUGCAGUGUUUGCUGGGAAGAAGAAGUACAGUCGGGAUUGGGACUUUGGAGAGGAGGUAGCAAUCUUAAGAGGAACUUGGAAAGAAAAGAAAACAAGAUCUUCAUUUGGGACGUCCAGUAUCUCACUGCAACGUAAGAACUCAUCUUCCUGUCUUAACUGGUUAGAGAAGACGCUCAUUCUCUGUUAAACAAAAGUGAAAACGUGAACUUUUCCUCCUUACAAUGCACAUCAUUUUAUUAACUGUUGAAUGAAAUCUGCCGGCACUCUAUUUACAAAACGAACCCACACAAAGCCCAGCUCACACCACGCAUCUGUCAUGAACUUGACUCUCUUACAGCUGUUCUAAUACAAGAUUCUCCCUAAUCAUUCUUAGAAUUUCAGCAGAUAACUGACCCAAGACUUUAAAUAUGCUUUGCUAAACAUCUUCACUAAAAGUUCUUUCCUUUUUUCCUCUGUUCUGCCAGGAACUUGGAAAGAAAAGAAAACAAGAUCUUCAUUUGGGACGUCCAGUAUCUCACUGCAACGUAAGAACUCAUCUUCCUGUCUUAACUGGUUAGAGAAGACGCUCAUUCUCUGUUAAACAAAAGUGAAAACGUGAACUUUUCCUCCUUACAAGGCACACAGGGGGAUAGGGC